rnacentral:rRNA from 1 species
GUAGGGAAUAUUGGGCAAUGGUCGGAAGACUGACCCAGCCAUGCCGCGUGCAGGAAGACGGCCCUCUGUGUUGUAAACUGCUUUUAUCUGGGAAGAAAAAGGCCAUGCGUGGCAAAUUGCCGGUACCAGAUGAAUAAGCACCGGCUAACUCCGUGCCAGCAGCCGCGGUAAUACGGAGGGUGCGAGCGUUGUCCGGAUUUAUUGGGUUUAAAGGGUGCGUAGGCGGCUGAUUAAGUCAGCGGUGAAAGACUUCGGCUUAACCGGAGCAGUGCCGUUGAUACUGGUUGGCUUGAGUGUCGGAGGGGUACAUGGAAUUGAUGGUGUAGCGGUGAAAUGCAUAGAUACCAUCAGGAACACCGAUAGCGAAGGCAUUGUACUGGCCGACAACUGACGCUGAUGCACGAAAGUGUGGGGAUCGAACAGGAUUAGAAACCCCAGUAGUCC